ACGACUAUACUUCACAGGAUUAUUUCUGUAGUAAGUCUUCAUUUACUUUCUUUGCGAAAAUAAAAUUUGAUUUCAUGGA